UAUUUUUAAUAAAAAUUGAAAAUAAAGAUGAAUUUUUCUUUCUGUAUUCAAGAAAAAAAAUAGUGUAAAAGGAAAAAAAAAGAAAGGAAAUUGAAUAGCUGGACCUGCUAGCAAAUUGAAAUGUGACUGAAAUUACUUCGUUUUCCCUUAGAAGUCAGACUGUGUAGCGCUUUAUAGUCCAUAAAUUAAGUAGGCGGUGAGACUUGUGUUCUUGAAGAGGGAGGUUGGCCCAGUUGGGCGGGGCUCAGUGUAACGGCUCCUUUCUCCACUAGAGGACGCUGCUAGCCUACUGGCAUGGAUUGUUGCGGAGCUAGUAGGUGCGUGUGCGUAUGCGCAUGCGUGGGAGUGGUAAAAAUGGCUUCACCCAUCUACACAGUCUGUUCUCCCGGAUCAGCAAUGGUGCACCCGUCCUCUGUCUUCAGCUUUCAUCCACUCCCUGUUUCCUCACUGUCCGUGACCAAGCCCCAGGCAAUACCUCUCUGCCGAGUUUUGUCUCAGAUGUGGCUGUUUUCCCCUGCCCCUUACUUCUGAAGGACUGAGGCUUUGACCUGUUCCAGCCCCUCUGCAGGAGGGCUCACCAAGCAAUGGCCGAAUGUACCCACGAACGCCUGCUGGAACCUGCUGCUGCCGGUGCCCCGAAACUGCGGCCAGGUGCCAGCCCGCCCCAGCAAAAGUUCACGAGACAGUGUAGCAGCAGCGUUUCAGGGAUUAUGGGCACCAGGCUUUACCCUCAACGGCCUUGUUCCAGCAUCAGUGAAUGUGGCCACCUUCUGGGGUCUGCUGCGACCAGGGGGCCUCAACAAUCUCUGCCUUCCAGCAAUGGAACUGCUUUUCCCAGUGUGGCCUAAGAACCUCCCGGACCCCACUCUGUUCCUGGGGAUUCGCCCUUCCCACCAGAGCACCUCCAGGACACUCUGAAAUGAUCUUAUUCAUGUGGUUGUUUUCCUUCACCAGAAUGGAAAUGCCAGGACUGGAAGGAUCUUGGGUGCUGUUCUUCUGGUAGACUAACCACUACAACAAUGCCAAGAAAUUAGUUGGUACAUAAAAAUAAUUGGUGAAUGACUUCUAGGUAUAUACCCAAAAGAAGUGAAUGCAGGGACUGUAACAGGUAUUAGACACUCAUGUCCAUGGCAGCCUUAUUCGCCAUAGCCAAAAGCUGAAAGCAAUUUAAUUGUCAAUCGAUGAAUAAAUGAAUAAACAAAAAUAUGUUAUAUGCAUACAAUGGAACAUUAUUCAGCCCUUCUGACACAUGAUACAACAUGGAUGAACCCUGAGGACAUUAUGCUAUGUGAAAUAAGCCAGACGUAAAGGAACAAAAAUGGUGUGAUUCCACUUACAUGAGAUACCUGGAGGAGUCAAAUUAAUAGAGGCAGAAAGUAGAAUCGUGAUUGCCAGGGGCUCAAGGGAGGAGGAAUAGGGAGUUGUUAUUUGAUGGGUACAGAGUUAUAGUUUGGGAAGAUGAAAAAGUUCCAGAAGUGGAUGGUAUAAUGGCCACACAACAAUGUGAAAGUACUUAACUUCACUGAACAGUGUACUUAAAAGCGGUUAAAAUGGUAAAUUUUAUCUGUAUUUCACAACAAUAAAACAGAAAUUGGUGGAUCA